GUUGAAACAAGGCCGUUUUCUUUCAGUCGCGGAAUUUUUGAAAUAUUUUGUAUUUUGUACUUAUUUUUUCACAAGUAAUUGAUGAGUUAUAGACAUGAAAAUGAAACAGUUGUUGUCGUCGUUAUGUGGUUACAGACAAUGAACUCCCGUUGUUUCAGUAUGCUGUAGAACUGUGAAUGAAACGUGCUUUGUGAGCUCGCUAUCUGCGUGUAUAUGUUGUAAUCCACGCCACUGCCAUUACGAUUGCUCAAAUAUCAGGUGAAAUUUGAUUUUGUGAACAAAUGAUGCAUGAUGUAGUUUAAAUUUCGUCAAACGAACAAUUUAAGUGAAUUGUAAACAAGUUAUGAAGUGAACAGCCAGCGAACACCUUCGUGUGCCAUGCGGCCGAUUUUUGUGUGGGCCGACUAUUGUAAUGAUAUUGAAAUCCACUACAGGAAUUGCCGAUCACGUCUAGAUUAUGAAAAAGAUCGCAUUGGUGUAUGUUUGAGGGCCACUUCCAGAAAAUCUUAGAACCCACAUGUGUAAACAAUUUCUGAAAGGAAUUGCUGUGAAUUUCAAACGCCUUCUAAAUGCAGGAAUGGAUUUGUGUGACGAACGCAGGAAGAAAAGUGUGACUGGUACCCACCAACACGGCAGGCUAACGUAAAAUCAAAUGCGGUCGACCAAAGUACCGUAUUGGGCAUUACCAACAUUACUAGGGAAGAAUCGAGACAGUUAUUUCCGCGUUCAUCGUGAUUUAUUUCCGAUUCCCUGGACUAUGCGACGGAAGCAAUCGCGUCAUCCGAAUGUGAAGAGCUACAGUACACAUGUGCGGACACCUUCAUUAUUCAGCCGUCUCUAGUGGAUAAUGGGCAGCUGUGGUUUCGGACUAGUGACCAGGUUGUUUUAUCUUUACUUUUGGCCAUAUUUUU